GGGGAAUAUUGUACAAUGGGCGAAACUCCUGAUGCAGUAACGCCGCGUGCAGGAAGAAGGUUUUCGGAUUGUAAACUUCUUUAUACAGGGACGAAACAAAUGACGGUACCUGUAGAAUAAGCCACGGCUAACUACUGUG
rnacentral:rRNA from 1 species